rnacentral:rRNA from 1 species
UACGUAGGGGGCGAGUGUUGUCCGGAAUUAUUGGGCGUAAAGAGCGUGUAGGCGGUUCGGUAAGUCUGCCGUGAAAACCUGGGGCUCAACCCCGGGCGUGCGGUGGAUACUGCCGGGCUAGAGGGUGGUAGAGGCGAGUGGAAUUCCCGGUGUAGCGGUGAAAUGCGCAGAUAUCGGGAGGAACACCAGUAGCGAAGGCGGCUCGCUGGGCCAUUCCUGACGCUGAGACGCGAAAGCUAGGGGAGCGAACAGG